UACGAAGGGGGCUAGCGUUGUUCGGAAUCACUGGGCGUAAAGGGCGCGUAGGCGGCUUUAUAAGUCGGGGGUGAAAGCCUGUGGCUCAACCUCAGAAUUGCCUUCGAUACUGGAGAUCUUGAGACCGGAAGAGGUAAGUGGAACUGCGAGUGUAGAGGUGAAAUUCGUAGAUAUUCGCAAGAACACCAGUGGCGAAGGCGGCUUACUGGUCCGGUUCUGACGCUGAGGCGCGAAAGCGUGGGGAGCAAACAGG
rnacentral:rRNA from 1 species